CUCAGUAACACGUGGACAACCUACCCUCAGCACGGGGAUAAACCCGGGAAACUGGGUAUAAUACCCGAUAGUUCUGGUUAGCUGGAAUGCUAUCAGGACGAAAGCUCCGGCGGCCGAGGAUGGGUCUGCGGCCUAUCAGGUAGUAGUGGGUGUAACGUACCUACUAGCCUACGACGGGUACGGGUUGUGAGAGCAAGAGCCCGGAGAUGGAUUCUGAGACACGAAUCCAGGCCCUACGGGGUGCAGCAGGCGCGAAAACUUUACAAUGCUGGCAACAGCGAUAAGGGGACCUCGAGUGCCAGGAUACAAUCUUGGCUGUCGUGAUGCCUAAAAAGCAUUGCAUAGCAAGGGCCGGGCAAGACCGGUGCCAGCCGCCGCGGUAACACCGGCGGCUCGAGUGGUAACCGCUAUUAUUGGGUCUAAAGGGUCUGUAGCCGGCCGGAUAAGUCUCUUGGGAAAUCCAGCAGCUCAACUGUUGGGCUUCCAGGAGAUACUGUCUGGCUCGAGGCCGGGAGAGGUGAGAGGUACUUCAGGGGUAGGGGUGAAAUCUUGUAAUCCUUGAAGGACCACCAGUGGCGAAGGCGUCUCACCAGAACGGACCUGACGGCAAGGGACGAAAGCUAGGGGCACGAACCGGAUUAGAUACCCGGGUAGUCCUAGCCGUAAACGAUACUCGCUAGGUGUCGGCCACGGUGCGACCGUGGUCGGUGCCGUAGGGAAGCCGUGAAGCGAGCCACCUGGGAAGUACGGCCGCAAGGCUGAAACUUAAAGGAAUUGGCGGGGGAG
rnacentral:rRNA from 1 species